CACCGCGCUGGGGGACAUGGUUUAACCACGGCGGCGCGGGAAGACCCCUACCGUGGGAAAGACAAGGAAGCAGGGGUAAGGGUGGCGAAGCUAGCGCCCGAUUGUCGAACGGCUGGCGGGU
rnacentral:ncRNA from 1 species